UACAGAGGUCCCGAGCGUUGUUCGGAUUCAUUGGGCGUAAAGGGUGCGUAGGCGGCGGGGAAAGUCUGAUGUGAAAUCCUGGGGCUCAACCCUGGAACUGCAUUGGAUACUUCCUUGCUAGAGUACUGGAGAGGAAACUGGAAUUUACGGUGUAGCAGUGAAAUGCGUAGAUAUCGUAAGGAAGACCAGUGGCGAAGGCGAGUCUCUGGACAGUUACUGACGCUGAGGCAUGAAGGCCAGGGGAGCAAACGGG
rnacentral:rRNA from 1 species